UACGGAGGGUGCAAGCGUUAUCCGGAUUCACUGGGUUUAAAGGGCGCGUAGGCGGUCACGCACGUCCGUUGUGAAAUCGCUCGGCUCAACUGGGCGGGGUCAGCGGAUACGGCGUGGCUGGAGCAAGCUAGGGGGCAAUGGAAUUCCCGGUGUAGUGGUGGAAUGCGUAGAUAUCGGGAGGAACACCAGUGGCGAAGGCGGUUGCCUGGAGCUUUGCUGACGCUGAUGCGCGAAAGCGUGGGGAGCGAUCCGG
rnacentral:rRNA from 1 species